rnacentral:lncRNA from 1 species
GCGGGAGCCGGGCUAGGGUCAAGGUCGGCGCGGGCAAGCGGCGGGGGCCCGCACGCGCCUCACCCGGCCCAGCGCUUUGCAGCUGCUGUCACGCGCGCACCCUCAGGCUUGGCCGGAGCCUGCCGCGUGCUGGCUGUUGAAAUCCAGGCGUUUCCACGGUUGCAGUGGCUGUGAGACCCUAGCAGUAUCCACCACAUGCAGGGAACCCAAGCCGGAAGGUAUGAAGAAGGGAUUGUGUCCAUGCCGGACACAAGUGCGGGAAGAGAGCACGACCACAGGACCCCUGCCUGGUGAGGCUUAUGGAGGACCCACGGUGCAUGUGUGAGCACUCAGAGGCACAGCCAGGGAGCGGCACACAGAGCCAGACCUUGAGCUGUAUAUCUGACUCAUUCCCAGUGAUGGGCACUCAGCACGAAGCUGCCUCUGGAAAUCAGGCCAUUCCAUCCAUCUGACUGGGCUGCCAGGCACCGCUUUCAUCUCUGUCCUUGGCUGAGGGUAGCCUGUCCAUCUCGACAAGAUGGAAACAGCACUUUGAAUUGCAUGGAAAAAAUGUACUCUACAGAGAGGAGACAAAUGCUCUUCUUUUGGCCAAGCUUUCAGAGGAAAUAUAAGGUAUGUUCAUUAAAAUAUGUCCCUGCUGAUAAUGAGCACUGGAAAUUCAAAGGUGUUAC